AUGUUGUUCAUGAGACUAAAGUCAUCUUACUUUGGUAAUGUUAAUAUAAUAUGGCCAAUAUUAUAUGUAUUGUCAGAUUAUUAUGAUAUAUAUAUAUAUAUAUAUAUAUAUAUAUAUAUAUAUAUAAACAUCCACGAAUACAUCACGAAGAUGGCCCCAACUGACAGCGUGCUCAGUGAAUACCUCAGGCAGCAGAAACCCAAGAAAGAGGAGGAAGGCGAGGAACCAUCAUGGAAGGACAGGCCCCUGCACGGUAUGUACCACCGGCAGAUAGAGGAGGUGGCUGAUAUACAGAAAUCCUACCAGUGGCUGGACAAAGCUGGACUGAAAGACAGCACAGAGGCACUAAUCAUGGCAGCACAAGAACAAGCUCUGAGUACAAGAUCCAUAGAGGCUGGGGUCUAUCACACCAGGCAAGACCCCAGGUGCAGGCUGUGUAAAGAUGCCCCAGAGACAAUCCAGCACAUAACAGCAGGGUGCAAGAUGCUAGCAGGCAAGGCAUACAUGGAACGCCAUAACCAAGUGGCCGGCAUAGUGUACAGGAACAUCUGUGCCGAGUAUAACCUGGAAGUCCCGAGGUCAAAAUGGGAGAUGCCCCCAAGGGUGAUGGAGAAUGACCGAGCUAAGAUCCUGUGGGACUUCCAGAUGCAGACGGACAAAAUGGUGGUGGCUAACCAACCGGACAUAGUGGUGGUAGACAAACAGAAGAAGACGGCUGUAGUGAUCGAUGUAGCGGUUCCGAAUGACAGCAAUAUCAGGAAGAAGGAACACGAGAAGCUGGAGAAAUACCAAGGGCUCAGAGAAGAGCUCGAGAGGAUGUGGAGGGUGAAGGUAACGGUGGUCCCCGUGGUAAUCGGAGCACUAGGUGCGGUGACUCCCAAGCUAGGCGAGUGGCUCCAGCAGAUCCCGGGAACAACAUCGGAGAUCUCUGUCCAGAAGAGCGCAGUCCUGGGAACAGCUAAGAUACUGCGCAGGACCCUCAAGCUCCCAGGCCUCUGGUAG
rnacentral:lncRNA from 1 species